rnacentral:rRNA from 1 species
CCUACGGGAGGCAGCAGUGAGGAAUAUUGGUCAAUGGACGAGAGUCUGAACCAGCCAAGUAGCGUGAAGGAUGACUGCCCUAUGGGUUGUAAACUUCUUUUAUAUGGGAAUAAAAUGUUCCACGUGUGGGAUUUUGUAUGUACCAUAUGAAUAAGGAUCGGCUAACUCCGUGCCAGCAGCCGCGGUAAUACGGAGGAUCCGAGCGUUAUCCGGAUUUAUUGGGUUUAAAGGGAGCGUAGGUGGAUUGUUAAGUCAGUUGUGAAAGUUUGCGGCUCAACCGUAAAAUUGCAGUUGAAACUGGCAGUCUUGAGUACAGUAGGGGUGGGCGGAAUUCGUGGUGUAGCGGUGAAAUGCUUAGAUAUCACGAAGAACUCCGAUUGCGAAGGCAGUUCACUGGACUGCAACUGACACUGAGGCUCGAAAGUGUGGGUAUCAAACAGGAUUAGAUACCCGUGUAGUC